rnacentral:rRNA from 1 species
UACAGGGGGUGCAAACGUUGCUCGGAAUUAUUGGGCGUAAAGAGCUCGUAGGCGGUUUGUCGCGUCUGCUGUGAAAUCCCGAGGCUCAACCUCGGGUCUGCAGUGGGUACGGGCAGACUGGAGUGCGGUAGGGGAGAAUGGAAUUCCUGGUGUAGCGGUGGAAUGCGCAGAUAUCAGGAGGAACACCGAUGGCGAAGGCAGUUCUCUGGGCCGUAACUGACGCUGAGGAGCGAAAGCGUGGGGAGCGAACAGG